rnacentral:rRNA from 1 species
AGUUAGCGGCGGACGGGUGAGUAACACGUGGGCAAUCUGCCUGGCAGACUGGAAUAACAUCCGAAACGGGUGCUAAUGCCGGAUAGGCAGCGAAGAGGCAUCUCUUUGCUGAGAAAGGUGCUACGGCACUACUGACAGAGGAGCCCGCGGCGCAUUAGCUAGUUGGUGGGGUAACGGCUCACCAAGGCGACGAUGCGUAGCCGACCUGAGAGGGUGACCGGCCACACUGGGACUGAGACACGGCCCAGACUCCUAUGGGAGGCAGCAGUAGGGAAUCUUCCGCAAUGGGCGCAAGCCUGACGGAGCAACGCCGCGUGAGCGAAGAAGGCCUUCGGGUUGUAAAGCUCAGUCAUUCGGGAAGAGCGGGUGGGAGAGGGAAUGCUCCUACCGAGACGGUACCGGAAGAGGAAGCCCCGGCUAACUACGUG